UACGAAGGGGGCUAGCGUUGCUCGGAAUUAUUGGGCGUAAAGCGCACGUAGGCGGCUUUGCAAGUCCCAUGUGAAAUCCCACGGCUCAACCGUGGAAGUGCAUGGGAAACUGCAGAGCUUGAGUACUUAAGAGGAUCGCGGAAUUCCCGGUGUAGAGGUGAAAUUCGUAGAUAUCGGGAGGAACACCAGUGGCGAAGGCGGCGAUCUGGGAAGAUACUGACGCUGAGGUGCGAAAGCGUGGGGAGCAAACAGG
rnacentral:rRNA from 1 species